rnacentral:rRNA from 1 species
GACGAACGCUGGCGGCGUGCUUAACACAUGCAAGUCGAACGGAAAGGCCCUGCUUUUGUGGGUUGCUCGAGUGGCGAACGGGUGAGUAACACGUGAGUAACCUGCCCUUGACUUUGGGAUAACUUCAGGAAACUGGGGCUAAUACCGGAUAGGAGCUCCUGCUGCAUGUUGGGGGUUGGAAAGUUUCGGCGGUUGGGGAUGGACUCGCGGCUUAUCAGCUGGUUGGUGGGGUAGUGGCGUACCAAGGCUUUGACGGGUAGCCGGCCUGAGAGGGUGACCGGCCACAUUGGGCCUGCGAUACGGCCCAGACUCCUACGGGAGGCAGCAGUGGGGAAUAUUGCACAAUGGGCGGAAGCCUGAUGCAGCAACGCCGCGUGCGGGAUGACGGCCUUCGGGUUGUAAACCGCUUUCGCCUGUGACGAAGCGUGAGUGACGGUAAUGGGUAAAGAAGCACCGGCUAACUACGUG